AUGAGGUGGUGCAGCAGCCCGCUCGGACCUUGAUUUUAGAUUUUGAUAGAAACACGAUAAGGACACCUGCCGUAACCGCCCUUUCACGGCGGUAACAGGGGUUCGAAUCCCCUUGGGGAGGCCA
rnacentral:tRNA from 1 species